GCCUAACUCACAACGCAGUAGCGGUUUUCGAUUAUAAUUAUUUCCGCUUGUCUUACCUACUCUAAGAGGCAUUAAGAUGAGACUCACGAGGAUCACGAGACCAGACGAUAAUUUGAAUAAAUAAAUAUACGAAUAAUACAAAAAACAAUUUAGCCUAUCGGUGUUGUUCAUCGAAAUUUGUCCUAACUGCUAACUCUUCUACACUCUGACCGCCCUGGAUUAGCCUAUAACUUAUUAGCCUAUAAGCAUCCUGUCUAGAAGGCACCAGAAAAAACCGAGAAAAAAAAAACGAGCACACUAAAGUUAAAGCAAUUUCAUUUAAUUCUUUGUAGUUCACUUAAGGAUAGAGGGGCCACAAGGGAAGCCACAAGGGAAGAUUGCUUAGGGCAUCAAGUUACCUUAAUCUGGCACUGCACUCUGAUCACAUUACGA
rnacentral:misc_RNA from 1 species